rnacentral:rRNA from 1 species
UACGUAGGGUGCGAGCGUUGUCCGGAAUUAUUGGGCGUAAAGAGCUCGUAGGCGGUGUGUCGCGUCGGCCGUGAAAACCUGGGGCUCAACUCUGGGCGUGCGGUCGAUACGGGCAUCACUUGAGUUCGGCAGGGGAGACUGGAAUUCCUGGUGUAGCGGUGAAAUGCGCAGAUAUCAGGAGGAACACCGGUGGCGAAGGCGGUUCUCUGGGCAUUACCUGACGCUGAGGAGCGAAAGUGUGGGGAGCGAACAGG